rnacentral:rRNA from 1 species
AUUGAACGCUGGCGGCAGGCUUAACACACGCAAGUCGAGCGGAGAUGAGGUGCUUGCACCUUAUCUUAGCGGCGGACGGGUGAGCAAUGCUUAGGAAUCUGCCUAUUAGUGGGGGACAACAUUCCGAAAGGAAUGCUAAUACCGCAGACGCCCUACGGGGGAAAGCAGGGGAUCUUCGGACCUUGCGCUAAUAGAUGAGGCUAAGUCGGAAUAGCUAGUUGGUGGGGUAAAGGCCUACCAAGGCGACGAUCUGUAGCGGGUCUGAGAGGAUGAUCCGCCACACUGGGACUGAGACACGGCCCAGACUCCUACGGGAGGCAGCAGUGGGGAAUAUUGGACAAUGGGCGGAAGCCUGAUCCAGCCAUGCCGCGUGUGUGAAGAAGGCCUUUUGGUUGUAAAGCACUUUAAGCGAGGAGGAGGCUACCUGGAUUAAUACUCUAGGAUAGUGGACGUUACUCGCAGAAUAAGCACCGGCUAACUCUGUGCCAGCCGCCGCAGUAACAC